GACGAACGCUGGCGGCGUGCUUAACACAUGCAAGUCGAACGAAGUGGCGAACGGGAGAGUAACGCGUAAUCAACCUGCCCUUCAGAGGGGGACAACAGAUGGAAACGACUGCUAAUAACGCAUACUGAAGGAGCGGAGUGCGUCUGAUUAGCGAGUUGGCGGGGAAACGGCCCACCAAGGCGAUGAUCAGUAGCCGGUCUGAGAGGAUGAACGGCCACAUUGGGAAUGAGACACGGCCCAGACUCCUACGGGAGGCAGCAGUGGGGAAUCUUCCGCAAUGGACGAAAGUCUGACGGAGCAACGCCGCGUGAGUGAUGACGGCCUUCGGGUUGUAAAGCUCUGUUAAUCGGGACGCGGUACCGGAAUAGAAAGCCACGGCUAACUACGUGCCAGCAGCCGCGGUAAUUC
rnacentral:rRNA from 1 species